UGCGCGCCGCCGUCAUGGGUCAAAAACGCGACGCGCGGAGCGGCCUUUGCUCUCACCGGGGUCGAGCCACGGCGAGGGAACGGAUCGGAGACGCUGCGCCUGCUCAGAAGGUAGCGCAGCGGGGAAAGGCGGGAGAGCGUUAACUUCUGAGCCUGCGCGGUGGGAGUUGCUCAAGCAGGUGGUAGCGACUUGGCUUCCGGGCAGCGGGGAAAGGAUCUUGCUCUGUCGCCCAAUAGCCCAGGCUGGAGUGCAGUGGAAGAGUUGCAGCUGGCCGCAGCCUCCACCUCCCUGGCUCAAGCGAUCUUCCAGCCUCAGCCUCCCCAGUAGCUGAGACUAUACAGGUGCAGGCCACCACUCUUAAUUUUUUUUGUUUGUUUUUAAGAGACAGGUCUCCCUACGUAGCCCAAGCUGUUUUCGAAGUCCCAGGUUCCUCCCACCUUGGACUCCCAAAGUGCUGGGAUUACAGGCUUGACCCACUGCGCCCAGCCUGCAUCUUUACAUUCGAAAUAAAAUUCAGUCAAGUCAAAGCCGGUCUUGGAGGAAAAUGUGGCUUUGAUGACAGCAGUAGGGAUUUUCCUUCAGUGCCUACUUACCAGAGGAUAAUAAUAACAGCAAGUUUUUUAAACAUAAAAACAUCAGAAAUGAAAAAGAACUUUCCAUAACACUAUAAAUAUUGCAGUAUUUCAAGAUACUGAACCAGAGCCCUAAGGAAAGGCUGGAGACCCAGAAUUUUAUAAUGGCUUUGGGACAUGAAUUUUAUUUUAACCAGAGGAUAAAAUUAAUCUGCAAAAGCUGUCUUGGAGAAAUUUCAGGAAAUAAAAGAUCAAAUGUAUCUGCUGUCCUCCCUUCCCUCUCCAGGAGAAUAAAAGGCAAAUGCAAACUAUCACAGGGAGAUUUUCACCUUUACCUAAAUUAUUUAUUAUAUACUUUAUAUUUCUGGUUAAUAGAUUGGGAGAGAGCACUCCAGAUAAAGAACUUCCUUUAUAAAUGCCACAUUUAUUUCAGUACUGGAGGUUUGGUCUUGUGUUGCCACAAAGAUUUGGAAUGGCAUCUAUGUUAUAAAUUUAGAUGACAAAAGAGACUAAUAAAAGACUUCUAGAUGAAACACAAGCUUCUAAUAUUCUGGUCCAGGAAAUAAGAUAGAAACUAAAAAACAAUAAAUAACUUUUAUGAAUUAACUGAAGGACUUAAAAUACUAGUUCCAUUCUAAUCCCAAGUGUCUGCCAAGGAACUGAAAAUUUAAAAUGAUAAAAGACAUGAUACAGUCAUGUUACAGGGAAUUCAAUGAAGUAAAAAUGGCAGACAUUGAUGAAUGGUAUGGUUUAAAGAUUUGUGUAGAGGUAGUGAUGAGGAGGCCUGCUGGGAGCUAGAAGAGUUCUAUACCUUGACACAGUUAUGCUUACAUGGAUAUACACACACAGUAGUCACUAAGCCAUGAUUUGUACUUAUGAUUUGCACACUUUGGUGGUUGUAAAUUGUACAGCAAUCUAAAAACAAAUGAGGUCAGUGUGCCUCACUACAGAGCUUCAAAAGCGAUAGAUAGCACAUCUCUCUUUUUUUUCUUUUAAGCCAUCUAAUACAGAGUUGCUUGGAAUAAAUCCUAAUAGAUACAAUGUUUCUAGAAACAAGUAAAUGAAUAAACCUUAGCUGUUACCCCGUAGGAGCCAACAGAGGUCAAUCUGUUCUCAAGCUUUUACAAAGUUACAAGAACAAGUAAUCAGUGCAUAUUUUGUUGAAACUCCUACUGCAAUACUGAAAACUUCAAAUGGAGAGCAGCUCCUUUUUGGUAAUUCACAACAGACUUAGUUUUCAAAUUACCAAGAAUAUAAGGAAUUAGACUAGAAGCCUAAUUCAAUUUAGAAUUAGGAGACAUUAUUUGUAACCCACAAGUAUUAUUUUUCCCAUGAUACUGAACAAUUCACCUGGCAUGAACUUAAAAGGAAGAAGAAAAUGCUUAUUGCAGCCUUCUUGCUUUAAGAGCGAAAAAGAAACAAUUUUGCUAGCUGUGGAGGGACUAGAAUACAAUGUCACUUUAAGAUUUACACUCAAAAGUUUUGACCUAUCAGAUUGAGAGCCAGAGAGACAGACAGACAGAAGGAGAAGGAUAAAUCAAAUGUGGUAAAAUGUUAACCUUUGGGGGAUCUGGGUAGAGGGGAUCUGGGAAUUAUUUGUACUAUUGCAACUUUUCUGUAAGUCUGAAAUUGUGUUGUCAAAAGUCAAAAGAAAAAAUUUAUAAAUACUUUAUCAUCCAUUUGCUUUAUAAUUAGGUACAGAGUAUGAUGACAGAGAGAGCCUACUGUAUGCCAGAUACUUAACAGAAGGAAAGUAGUUUAUAUGCAAACUCUGGGAAAAGUGGAGCCAAAUGAUUACACUGUGUGUACCCUUUAGCACUGUUUGGGGUGGGGACAUGGGGGGUCAGGGUGCAGAGAGGGACUGUUCUGGUCUCCUUGGAAGGUAUGUGCCUAUAGUAAAAAGCAUGAGUAAGAUAUCACAUCUCCUAACUCCGUAACAACCAAGCAAACUUAUAAUAGCAUUUUAACUUAUAUCACCUUUUUUAUAGGAGCGGAUAUAUAUUCCAGCAGCAUGAGUAUUUUAGCCCUCUUUGCAAUUGCAGUCUUCAUUCAUUAUCAUCAAUAAACUGGCCUCUGGUUGAUUGA